GCGCGGUUAGCUCAGUUGGUUAGAGCGUCCCCUUGACGUGGGGAAGGUCAGAGGUUCGAAUCCUCUAUCGCGCA
rnacentral:tRNA from 1 species